UAUCCAUGGUGUGGACAAUUUCUUUGGUGUUCCCUAAAUCUUUCACAAGCAUCUAAAAGAUAUUCAUCUUCUUUUUGUUUAAAAGUUCUUAUCUUGUUUCUUAAGAGA
rnacentral:snoRNA from 1 species